AUUGAACGCUGGCGGCAGGCCUAACACAUGCAAGUCGAGCGGAUGAAGAGAGCUUGCUCUCUGAUUUAGCGGCGGACGGGUGAGUAAUGCCUAGGAAUCUGCCUGGUAGUGGGGGAUAACGUUCCGAAAGGAACGCUAAUACCGCAUACGUCCUACGGGAGAAAGCGGGGGAUCUUCGGACCUCGCGCUAUCAGAUGAGCCUAGGUCGGAUUAGCUAGUUGGUGAGGUAAAGGCUCACCAAGGCGACGAUCCGUAACUGGUCUGAGAGGAUGAUCAGUCACACUGGAACUGAGACACGGUCCAGACUCCUACGGGAGGCAGCAGUGGGGAAUAUUGGACAAUGGGCGAAAGCCUGAUCCAGCCAUGCCGCGUGUGUGAAGAAGGUCUUCGGAUUGUAAAGCACUUUAAGUUGGGAGGAAGGGUUGUAGAUUAAUACUCUGCAAUUUUGACGUUACCGACAGAAUAAGCACCGGCUAACUUCGUGCCAGCAGCCGCCGUAACAC
rnacentral:rRNA from 1 species